UUAAAAAUUGGGCAACAAAAGUUUUAGAAUUUGAUCAAGAAACGUCGGUUUUUGAGCAAAAGAAAGAAGAAGCUUGCAGUUUGUCACAUGAUCAACAAAUAGAAAUUGCAGCUGUUCAUCCCAAAGAAGAACCUUCUCUGGGACUCGAAUGCUCUAAAAGUAACGGAUUUUCUGCUGAACUUUUAAACAUUGGAUCUAUAGCUUUCGGAAAACUUUGGUGCAAUAAGCAGGCGAUAUUCCCAAAAGGAUACUGAAGCCGAGUAAAAUAUUACAGCUAUCUGAACCCUUCGGUGAUGAGUAGCUACAUAGUAGAAUUCAUGAUGUCGGGCUUACUGGACAUCUAUUUAAGGUUUUCUUGGAAGAAUUUCCCGAUGAGAGCUUUGUGGACGUGUCAGCAGAAAAAUGUUGGAAACUUGUGCUGCACGUGCUUAAUCAAGAAAUCGCAAAGCUGGCUAGGGAUGAGCAAUUGGUAUAAAAUACCGUCCCGAUCCCGAUCCCGAACUUUUUCGGUACCGGAAACGGUAUCCACUUUUUGGCAUUUUCGGUAUCGGUACGGUACAGUAUCGGUAAAAUACCGAAUUUUACCCUCGAAAUACCGAUACCGUACCGUACCGACAUAUUUCGGUAUCAGUAUCGGUACCAAGUUUACACAAAAUUCGGGAUCGGUAGUUUUCGGGAUCGAGACGGUAUUGGGACGUUAUCGGUAUUUGCUCAUCUCUAAAGCUGGCUAAUCGGGCCUUAAAGCCUCUUUAUAGCAUCAAUGGACUUGAAAUGUUUGGGUUAUCUUCUCCCCCCAUUAUGAAGGCGAUUAAGGCUCUCGAUCCAUAGCACAGAUGUUUGGAGUACUGGAGCAGCAAAGGUAAAGAUCCUAUAAAUUGAAGUUAUAGGAUCUUUACCUUUUCUGUUUAGAAAAAUUUCUA